rnacentral:rRNA from 1 species
UACGUAGGGGGCAAGCGUUGUCCGGAAUUAUUGGGCGUAAAGAGCGCGUAGGCGGUCCGAUAAGUCGGCUGUGAAAGUCAGGGGCUCAACCCUUGGAAGCCGGCCGAUACUGUCGGACUAGAGUCCGGAAGAGGCGAGUGGAAUUCCCGGUGUAGCGGUGAAAUGCGCAGAUAUCUGGAGGAACACCGGUGGCGAAGGCGGCAUCCUGGACCAAUAUUGACGCUGAGGAGCGAAAGCCAGGGGAGCAAACGGG